rnacentral:other from 1 species
GUUCCCCUGGAAAGCAGGUGAUUUCUAUAUCAGUGCUGACCGAACAAUCUUGCAAUUAGGGAGCCGGUUGCUAUUCCCUUUGUGCAUGCCCGACUUGGAUUGGGAGUCCUGACGGGAAUACAUCGGAGCCCACCCUGGGUAACCGGGUUCUACAUUGAAAGAAACACGGCCUUUUGGGGGAACU